rnacentral:rRNA from 1 species
CCUACGGGGGGCAGCAGUGAGGAAUAUUGGUCAAUGGACGCAAGCCUGAACCAGCCAUGCCGCGUGCAGGAAGACGGCUCUAUGAGUUGUAAACUGCUUUUGUACGAGGGUAAACGCAGAUACGCGUAUCUGUCUGAAAGUAUCGUACGAAUAAGGAUCGGCUAACUCCGUGCCAGCAGCCGCGGUAAUACGGAGGAUUCAAGCGUUAUCCGGAUUUAUUGGGUUGAAAGGGUGCGUAGGCGGUCGGAUAAGUUAGAGGUGAAAUCCCGAGGCUCAACUUCGGAAUUGCCUCUGAUACUGUUCGGCUAGAGAGCAGUUGCGGUAGGCGGAAUGUAUGGUGUAGCGGUGAAAUGCUUAGAGAUCAUACAGAACACCGAUGGCGAAGGCAGCUUACCAGGCUACUUCUGACGUUGAGGCACGAAAGCGUGGGGAGCAAACAGGAUUAGAUACCCUGGUAGUC